rnacentral:rRNA from 1 species
CCUACGGGCGGCAGCAGUGGGGAAUAUUGGACAAUGGGGGCAACCCUGAUCCAGCCAUGCCGCGUGUGUGAAGAAGGCCCUCGGGUUGUAAAGCACUUUCAGUGAGGAAGAACGCCUUGUGGUUAAUACCCAUCAGGAAAGACAUCACUCACAGAAGAAGCACCGGCUAACUCCGUGCCAGCAGCCGCGGUAAUACGGAGGGUGCGAGCGUUAAUCGGAAUUACUGGGCGUAAAGCGCGCGUAGGUGGCUUGAUAAGCCGGUUUGUGAAAGCCCCGGGCUCAACCUGGGAACGGCAUCCGGAACUGUCAAGCUAGAGUGCAGGAGAGGAAGGUAGAAUUCCCGGUGUAGCGGUGAAAUGCGUAGAGAUCGGGAGGAAUACCAGUGGCGAAGGCGGCCUUCUGGACUGACACUGACACUGAGGUGCGAAAGCGUGGGUAGCAAACAGGAUUAGAUACCCUUGUAGUC